rnacentral:rRNA from 1 species
UACGUAGGGCGCAAGCGUUGUCCGGAAUUAUUGGGCGUAAAGAGCUCGUAGGCGGCCAGUUGCGUCCGCUGUGAAAUCCCGGGGCUUAACCCCGGGCGUGCAGUGGAUACGGGCUGGCUGGAGGCAGGCAGGGGAGAACGGAAGUUCCCGUGGUAGCGGUGAAAUGCGCAGAUAUCGGGAGGAACACCGGUGGCGAAGGCGGUUCUCUGGGCCUGUACUGACGCUGAGGAGCGAAAGCGUGGGGAGCGA